rnacentral:rRNA from 1 species
GACGAACCGUGCAAACGUUGUUCGGAAUCACUGGGCUUAAAGGGCGCGUAGGCGGGCGACCAAGUCAGGGGUGAAAUCCUCCGGCUUAACCGGAGAACAGCCUUUGAUACUGGUCACCUCGAGGGAGGUAGGGCAUGUGGAACUUCCGGUGGAGCGGUGAAAUGCGUAGAUAUCGGAAGGAACGCCGGUGGCGAAAGCGACUUCCUGGACCAAUACUGACGCUCAUGUGCGAAAGCGUGGGGAGCAAACAGG